GGGGGAGUGAGCUCUAAAAGCAUGGGGAAUCUUGUGAAAAUUGAUGAAUGCAGCAUGUUAUCAGAAAAUACUGGCAGACAAUUGCAUUCCUUUGCACGAAGGCUGCACCUGGGACACUUUUGGACUUUCCAGCAUGACAAUAACUGUAAGAACAAGGCCAAGUUGACCCUCCAGUGGUUACAGCAGAAAAAGGUGAAGGUUCUGGAGUAGCCAUCACAGUCUCCUGACCUUAAUAUCAUCAAGCCACUAUGGGGAGAUCUCAAACGUGCGGUUCAUGCAUUACCUAGAGGCAUUUUUCCAAGACGAAUGGGCAGUUAUACCACCUGCAAGAAUUAGGGGCCUCAUAGACAACUAUUACAAAAGACUGCACACUGUAAUUGAUGCUACAUGGGACAAUACACAGUAUUAAGAACUAAGGGUAUGAAGACUUUUGAACAGGGGUCAUUUCAUUUUUUUCUUUGUUGCCAAGUUUUGUUUUAUAAAUGUGCCAUUCUCUUCUAACCUUCAGUUGAAAA